UCCUACGGGAGGCAGCAGUGAGGAAUAUUGGGCAAUGCCCGAAAGGGUGACCCAGCAACGCCGCGUGGAGGAUGAAGGUCGUAAGAUUGUAAACUCCUGUUAGAGGGGAAGAAUAACUAAGUUUGGAGCUUAGUAUGACUGUACCCUCAGAGAAAGCCCCGGCUAACUACGUGCCAGCAGCCGCGGUAAUACGUAGGGGGCAAGCGUUGUCCGGAUUUACUGGGUGUAAAGGGCGCGCAGGCGGAAUGGAAAGUCAGUGGUGAAAUCCUACAGCUUAACUGUAGAACUGCCUUUGAUACUUUCAUUCUUGAGUUCGGGAGAGAGAGACGGAAUUCCAGGUGUAGUGGUGAAAUACGUAGAUAUCUGGAAGAACACCAGUUGCGAAGGC
rnacentral:rRNA from 1 species